GAUGAAGCAGCUGUGUGCAGUGAAGGAACACCAGCUGUCAGUCUCACAUGGUCUCAGCAUCAAUAUUCCUUUCUGAAUUCCAUCAUAUCGCCGGGAACACAAUCCUCCUGUCGUCGCAUGCAAUCUUUUUUUUUUUUUUCCAUAACCGAUGCAGCAGUUUGGUCCCAUCUUAAAGUAAAAUGAGUGCAGCCUACACAAAUCCAAUAAUUCACCAUGAUGAAAAAUAUAAAAUGCAAAAUAAACUUUCAAAAAAGACUCAACAAUUGACUACUACACAGCUUACUGAGGCAGUCAGAAAAGCUUAACAAAGAGUUUAUAAAGUGGUGUGAGUGGCAUCCGUAGGUGUCUCUAGAGAAGUCAAUAAAAACUGACCAGUAUCUGAAGAUAGAAGGUCAAUAUUUGAUAAUAUGUCACAUGGACAAGGUUAAUAUAAACUGAAUAAUCACACUGGUUUGUGAAAUCCUGAAUAAUGCUUGUAUUGGGUGGUUGGCUUUCUGGUUCAGGAGCCAAUAAAUAGAAUAAGGAAGGACAUCAGAGCACUGUUCCCUCUAAGCUGCGCGCGUGCGCAAUUGCGCACUGCUGACACGGUCUCCAUGCACAGAAAAAAAGAAAUCCAACCUAAAUUGUAAAUAAAAUAAACACGUAACAAUUCAUUCUGUGCUAUUUUUCAGUGUGAGUCAGUGAGUGGCCGGUGACUGGCUGCUGCGGCCAAUGAUGCGAUUCACAUACGUAUUUACCAUAGACUGUAUAUAAUGGUAUUUACGCAGCUAAUCAACGUCAGGCGUCCUUAUGUGCAGCCAUCGUUGUUGUCAUAGAUAUGAAUUAGUAGAUAGGACACGCCCCUUUGAGCUGCGUGCUACAGCGAGGCUAAGCUAGUGGGGGCACAGUUUCAGUGCAUUCUGUUGAUGUAGACGGCGUGAAAACGGAAACAACAAGUAUGCCGGCUCACUGUGCUGCAUACAGUUACACACUACGCCGUACGAUUGAGACAAGGAAACUUGGAAUGACUUUUCAUAGGUUUCCCAGAGACUAUGGGUUGAGGAGGAAUUGGAAGUUUGUCGGCUUAGACCUGGUGUCAUUCCAUCAGUGUUAAACUUCCCGGCUCAUCUUGGAAGAGUACGUGCCAGAAAGACCACGACCAAGCAGCCUUGAGAUCUUAGGCAGCGUCUCCCUGAGGUCCCUCUCUAUCUCCCCACACAUCCACCAACCACUGGAACACAUCUCCAAAGUUCUGCAGGGCCAGCUCAGCUUCCCCUCAGAAGAAGUGCCGCCACCUGCCAGAUGAAGGAGCCUUUUGAGAGGCAGCUGGCAUCGUGAUUGGACUGUACUUUGGUCUGUUCCAAUCCAGCUUCAGCUCCAGAGACGGCAGGCGGGACGAGUCAACGGAGGCCUGGUGGACGAAGGCAUGCAGCUGAGUACAAUCCAGAAAACAACAGAGGAGGAGUGCAGUGGCCCAGGGCCAGAACAACCAGAGUAGCAUCGUAUGUCUCUUAGAAAACAUCAUAGUAUAGCCUUUGGUAUGAAAAAACGCCAUCAUAUACAUCGUAUAUUGUACAAAUAACAAGUCAAAGGAAAGAGACAUACAUUGUAGAAUUGUAGUAAUUGUGGGCUGACUGAUUUACUGAUUAUCAGUAUUUUAUUUUUUACUGAUUUACG
ensembl:lncRNA